GGGUUGUGAGGUUAAGCGACUAAGCGUACACGGUGGAUGCCCUGGCAGUCAGAGGCGAUGAAGGACGUGCUAAUCUGCGAUAAGCGUCGGUAAGGUGAUAUGAACCGUUAUAACCGGCGAUUUCCGAAUGGGGAAACCCAGUGUGAUUCGUCACACUAUCAUUAACUGAAUCCAUAGGUUAAUGAGGCGAACCGGGGGAACUGAAACAUCUAAGUACCCCGAGGAAAAGAAAUCAACCGAGAUUCCCCCAGUAGCGGCGAGCGAACGGGGAGCAGCCCAGAGCCUGAAUCAGUGUGUGUGUUAGUGGAAGCGUCUGGAAAGGCGCGCGAUACAGGGUGACAGCCCCGUACACAAAAAUGCACAUACUGUGAGCUCGAUGAGUAGGGCGGGACACGUGGUAUCCUGUCUGAAUAUGGGGGGACCAUCCUCCAAGGCUAAAUACUCCUGACUGACCGAUAGUGAACCAGUACCGUGAGGGAAAGGCGAAAAGAACCCCGGCGAGGGGAGUGAAAAAGAACCUGAAACCGUGUACGUACAAGCAGUGGGAGCACGCUUAGGCGUGUGACUGCGUACCUUUUGUAUAAUGGGUCAGCGACUUAUAUUCUGUAGCAAGGUUAACCGAAUAGGGGAGCCGAAGGGAAACCGAGUCUUAACUGGGCGUUAAGUUGCAGGGUAUAGACCCGAAACCCGGUGAUCUAGCCAUGGGCAGGUUGAAGGUUGGGUAACACUAACUGGAGGACCGAACCGACUAAUGUUGAAAAAUUAGCGGAUGACUUGUGGCUGGGGGUGAAAGGCCAAUCAAACCGGGAGAUAGCUGGUUCUCCCCGAAAGCUAUUUAGGUAGCGCCUCGUGAAUUCAUCUCCGGGGGUAGAGCACUGUUUCGGCAAGGGGGUCAUCCCGACUUACCAACCCGAUGCAAACUGCGAAUACCGGAGAAUGUUAUCACGGGAGACACACGGCGGGUGCUAACGUCCGUCGUGAAGAGGGAAACAACCCAGACCGCCAGCUAAGGUCCCAAAGUCAUGGUUAAGUGGGAAACGAUGUGGGAAGGCCCAGACAGCCAGGAUGUUGGCUUAGAAGCAGCCAUCAUUUAAAGAAAGCGUAAUAGCUCACUGGUCGAGUCGGCCUGCGCGGAAGAUGUAACGGGGCUAAACCAUGCACCGAAGCUGCGGCAGCGACGCUUAUGCGUUGUUGGGUAGGGGAGCGUUCUGUAAGCCUGCGAAGGUGUGCUGUGAGGCAUGCUGGAGGUAUCAGAAGUGCGAAUGCUGACAUAAGUAACGAUAAAGCGGGUGAAAAGCCCGCUCGCCGGAAGACCAAGGGUUCCUGUCCAACGUUAAUCGGGGCAGGGUGAGUCGACCCCUAAGGCGAGGCCGAAAGGCGUAGUCGAUGGGAAACAGGUUAAUAUUCCUGUACUUGGUGUUACUGCGAAGGGGGGACGGAGAAGGCUAUGUUGGCCGGGCGACGGUUGUCCCGGUUUAAGCGUGUAGGCUGGUUUUCCAGGCAAAUCCGGAAAAUCAAGGCUGAGGCGUGAUGACGAGGCACUACGGUGCUGAAGCAACAAAUGCCCUGCUUCCAGGAAAAGCCUCUAAGCAUCAGGUAACAUCAAAUCGUACCCCAAACCGACACAGGUGGUCAGGUAGAGAAUACCAAGGCGCUUGAGAGAACUCGGGUGAAGGAACUAGGCAAAAUGGUGCCGUAACUUCGGGAGAAGGCACGCUGAUAUGUAGGUGAAGUCCCUCGCGGAUGGAGCUGAAAUCAGUCGAAGAUACCAGCUGGCUGCAACUGUUUAUUAAAAACACAGCACUGUGCAAACACGAAAGUGGACGUAUACGGUGUGACGCCUGCCCGGUGCCGGAAGGUUAAUUGAUGGGGUCAGCGCAAGCGAAGCUCUUGAUCGAAGCCCCGGUAAACGGCGGCCGUAACUAUAACGGUCCUAAGGUAGCGAAAUUCCUUGUCGGGUAAGUUCCGACCUGCACGAAUGGCGUAAUGAUGGCCAGGCUGUCUCCACCCGAGACUCAGUGAAAUUGAACUCGCUGUGAAGAUGCAGUGUACCCGCGGCAAGACGGAAAGACCCCGUGAACCUUUACUAUAGCUUGACACUGAACAUUGAGCCUUGAUGUGUAGGAUAGGUGGGAGGCUUUGAAGUGUGGACGCCAGUCUGCAUGGAGCCGACCUUGAAAUACCACCCUUUAAUGUUUGAUGUUCUAACGU
rnacentral:rRNA from 1 species